rnacentral:rRNA from 1 species
GACAGAGGAUGCAAGCGUUAUCCGGAAUGAUUGGGCGUAAAGCGUCUGUAGGUGGCUUUUUAAGUCCGCCGUCAAAUCCCAGGGCUCAACCCUGGACAGGCGGUGGAAACUACCAAGCUGGAGUACGGUAGGGGCAGAGGGAAUUUCCGGUGGAGCGGUGAAAUGCGUAGAGAUCGGAAAGAACACCAACGGCGAAAGCACUCUGUGCUGGCCGACACUGACACUGAAGAGGACGAAAGAGCUAGGGGAACGCGAAUGGG